ACAGUCACAUCACAUUGGAACACCAGUUCCCGUAUGAUCACCUAAGUUAAGCAGUGUUGAAUCUGGUCAGUACCUAGAUGGGUAACCACUUGGGAAUACCAGGUGCUGUAA